rnacentral:SRP_RNA from 1 species
GUCAGGCGCGGUGGUGCGCACCUGUAGUCCCAGCUACUCAGGAGGCUGAGGCUGGAGGAUCGCUUGAGCCCAGGAGUUCUGGGCUGUAGUGUGCCAUGCUGACCGGCUGUCCGCACUAAGUUCAGCCUCAGUAUGGUGACCUCUCAGGAGCCGGGGAACACCAGGUUGCCUAAGGAGGAGUGAACUUGUUCAGUUUGGAAAUGGAGCAGGUCAAAACUCCCAUGCUGAUCAGUAGUGGGAUAGCACCUAUAAAUAGCCACUGCACUCCAGCCUGGGCAACACAGCGAGAGACCCCGUCUCU